CUUUCUCCCCUGCUGGACGCUUCCUUCUACUCCUCCUGCCCUUAAACAUCAGACUCCAGGUUCUUUGGCCUUUGGACUCUGAGACUUGCACCAGUGGCUUGCCAGGGGCUCUCGGACUUUUGGUCACAGACUGAAGGCUGCACUGUUGGCGUCCCUGGUUUGAGGCUUUCGAACUUGGACUGAGCCACUACCAGCCUCUCUCUUCCCCAGCUUGCAGAUGGCCGCCUGUGGGACUUCACCUUGUAAUCGUGGUUUGGAGCUCACUGUCCUUGGGUGAACCUGCAAGUCAGGGGUCUGCUGAGAUGGGGCCACCAGCUGAGGCUGCCUGAGGCUGGAAAAGGCAUCUUACCUCUGGGGCCCGUGCAGAGCUCCCAGGUCACCCAGGUCCUCUGCCCAGGCCAUGUCUUCUGCAAAGGAUUCCUCUGCUUGGUGCAGGGAGAAGGAUCAAGGGCCAAGGGGGAAGAGGGGCUUUGAAGCCUCAUCUGCCCAGAGGUGAGGAAUACUCUCUCUACUUGCUUAACACACCGCAAGGGGCAGCUGCUUGAUGUGUCAAGACCCCAGCUUUGGAGCCGUGGAAACUUGGCUGCAAGCCUGAUGGGGCUCAGCGACCAGGGAGGACAUCCUGCUCACAGAGCCUUCGUGUGCCAGCUCGUCUGUCACACACGGCCAGAAUUGUCUCUCUUAUCGAGGCCGUGGCAAGCUGCACAAGCUGGUGUACGUCAUCACACCUGACGUACCAGAGCAGGUGUCAAUAAAUGUCAC
rnacentral:lncRNA from 10 species